GUUAAGCGACUAAGCGUACACGGUGGAUGCCCUGGCAGUCAGAGGCGAUGAAGGACGUGCUAAUCUGCGAUAAGCGUCGGUAAGGUGAUAUGAACCGUUAUAACCGGCGAUUUCCGAAUGGGGAAACCCAGUGUGAUUCGUCACACUAUCAUUAACUGAAUCCAUAGGUUAAUGAGGCGAACCGGGGGAACUGAAACAUCUAAGUACCCCGAGGAAAAGAAAUCAACCGAGAUUCCCCCAGUAGCGGCGAGCGAACGGGGAGCAGCCCAGAGCCUGAAUCAGUGUGUGUGUUAGUGGAAGCGUCUGGAAAGGCGCGCGAUACAGGGUGACAGCCCCGUACACAAAAAUGCACAUACUGUGAGCUCGAUGAGUAGGGCGGGACACGUGGUAUCCUGUCUGAAUAUGGGGGGACCAUCCUCCAAGGCUAAAUACUCCUGACUGACCGAUAGUGAACCAGUACCGUGAGGGAAAGGCGAAAAGAACCCCGGCGAGGGGAGUGAAAAAGAACCUGAAACCGUGUACGUACAAGCAGUGGGAGCACAGAGCAAUCUGUGUGACUGCGUACCUUUUGUAUAAUGGGUCAGCGACUUAUAUUCUGUAGCAAGGUUAACCGAAUAGGGGAGCCGAAGGGAAACCGAGUCUUAACUGGGCGUUAAGUUGCAGGGUAUAGACCCGAAACCCGGUGAUCUAGCCAUGGGCAGGUUGAAGGUUGGGUAACACUAACUGGAGGACCGAACCGACUAAUGUUGAAAAAUUAGCGGAUGACUUGUGGCUGGGGGUGAAAGGCCAAUCAAACCGGGAGAUAGCUGGUUCUCCCCGAAAGCUAUUUAGGUAGCGCCUCGUGAAUUCAUCUCCGGGGGUAGAGCACUGUUUCGGCAAGGGGGUCAUCCCGACUUACCAACCCGAUGCAAACUGCGAAUACCGGAGAAUGUUAUCACGGGAGACACACGGCGGGUGCUAACGUCCGUCGUGAAGAGGGAAACAACCCAGACCGCCAGCUAAGGUCCCAAAGUCAUGGUUAAGUGGGAAACGAUGUGGGAAGGCCCAGACAGCCAGGAUGUUGGCUUAGAAGCAGCCAUCAUUUAAAGAAAGCGUAAUAGCUCACUGGUCGAGUCGGCCUGCGCGGAAGAUGUAACGGGGCUAAACCAUGCACCGAAGCUGCGGCAGCGACGCUGAUGCGUUGUUGGGUAGGGGAGCGUUCUGUAAGCCUGUGAAGGUGUGCUGUGAGGCAUGCUGGAGGUAUCAGAAGUGCGAAUGCUGACAUAAGUAACGAUAAAGCGGGUGAAAAGCCCGCUCGCCGGAAGACCAAGGGUUCCUGUCCAACGUUAAUCGGGGCAGGGUGAGUCGACCCCUAAGGCGAGGCCGAAAGGCGUAGUCGAUGGGAAACAGGUUAAUAUUCCUGUACUUGGUGUUACUGCGAAGGGGGGACGGAGAAGGCUAUGUUGGCCGGGCGACGGUUGUCCCGGUUUAAGCGUGUAGGCUGGUUUUCCAGGCAAAUCCGGAAAAUCAAGGCUGAGGCGUGAUGACGAGGCACUACGGUGCUGAAGCAACAAAUGCCCUGCUUCCAGGAAAAGCCUCUAAGCAUCAGGUAACAUCAAAUCGUACCCCAAACCGACACAGGUGGUCAGGUAGAGAAUACCAAGGCGCUUGAGAGAACUCGGGUGAAGGAACUAGGCAAAAUGGUGCCGUAACUUCGGGAGAAGGCACGCUGAUAUGUAGGUGAAGUCCCUCGCGGAUGGAGCUGAAAUCAGUCGAAGAUACCAGCUGGCUGCAACUGUUUAUUAAAAACACAGCACUGUGCAAACACGAAAGUGGACGUAUACGGUGUGACGCCUGCCCGGUGCCGGAAGGUUAAUUGAUGGGGUCAGCGCAAGCGAAGCUCUUGAUCGAAGCCCCGGUAAACGGCGGCCGUAACUAUAACGGUCCUAAGGUAGCGAAAUUCCUUGUCGGGUAAGUUCCGACCUGCACGAAUGGCGUAAUGAUGGCCAGGCUGUCUCCACCCGAGACUCAGUGAAAUUGAACUCGCUGUGAAGAUGCAGUGUACCCGCGGCAAGACGGAAAGACCCCGUGAACCUUUACUAUAGCUUGACACUGAACAUUGAGCCUUGAUGUGUAGGAUAGGUGGGAGGCUUUGAAGUGUGGACGCCAGUCUGCAUGGAGCCGGCCUUGAAAUACCACCCUUUAAUGUUUGAUGUUCUAACGUUGACCCGUGAUCCGGGUUGCGGACAGUGUCUGGUGGGUAGUUUGACUGGGGCGGUCUCCUCCUAAAGAGUAACGGAGGAGCACGAAGGUUGGCUAAUCCUGGUCGGACAUCAGGAGGUUAGUGCAAUGGCAUAAGCCAGCUUGACUGCGAGCGUGACGGCGCGAGCAGGUGCGAAAGCAGGUCAUAGUGAUCC
rnacentral:rRNA from 1 species